CGGGAUUAGUCCCGUUAGGUAUGUGGCCUGAAAAAGGCUGAACCUGGAG
rnacentral:ncRNA from 1 species